UUCAAGAAAUCAAUUUCAAACUUAAGAACAAAGAACAAAUCAAGAUUCAAGUACGAUUUCAAAUCAAGUUCAUGCUAGUUGAAUUCAAGAUCAUUGUUCGUGGCAACAAAUAUAGAUUCAAGAUCAAGUUUUAAUGCCCUUGAAAUUUACUAUUGGAAAGAAGAAUCAGAGGAAUCAUAGAGAUUGUAAUACUCAAAUUAUUUAAAAUAAAAUACUAUGAUUCUUGCAAUAAUUUUAAGUCUCAAUUAUUCUGUUGACGUAAAAUUUAUUGUCCACAAAUUUUGGCACGCCUAGUGGGGUCAAAUCCGCCUUUCAUCUCUUCUUCCUGCAAAUUAAAAACUAUCAGUUUUAAAAUCAUCUGUUGCGAUGGUCGAGUACUUCAAGUUUCGGCAAGCUCACACCCCAAUAAACAUUAAAGUAGGGGCAUUUUUGGACAUUAAAAUUUUAACGGAUCAAGCCCAUACAAGAUUUGGGCUAAAUCUUAAAUUCAAUACACUGCAAGACGAUUUUUUAAUUCUACGAAUCUAUUAGGAUUGCUUGGAGUGUACUCUAUAAAAACCCGAACUUGGAGGCUACUCUACCCUAACCCGAGAUUACUCUUACAAAAAGGGUUACAUAUUCCCUUUAAAAGGAUCUCGAAAAUAGAGAUCAUCUCGAAAAUCUCAUAAACUCAUAGGAUACUCGCUAAGAGAUCAAGAUGUGGUGGAAUAAUUCUUGAUAGUCAAAUACUUCAAGUUAAGAUCUGAUUACAUACUUUCAUUGAUAUCAAAUGAAUCCAAGGAAGUCCGUAUCAUCCUACGUUCGAGAAAGACACUGCUCCAACCCUCAAAUCAAGGAUAUAAUCAGGAGAAAAGAAUCAAGGAAGAAAAAAUUAUACUAACAAUUGAUUAGUAAAUAUAUUUUUCUCUUAUUUUGUGAUUGUCGUUUAAUUUUCUAUAUCCCAAAAAAAUUAUUGCAAACAAAUUGGCACAUCCAGUGGGACAAUCUCUACCUCUUAUCUUAACUUUUCAGUCAUCAUAAAUCUAGAACAUCAAAAUGGCUUCAAAGAAGAUUAACUCCAAUUUGAUGUCAUCUGAGGUUGCUAAUUCCAAGUUCUAUAUUGAAGUGGAAAACAUACCAGUAUUACCUUAGGAAGUUUAGGGGCAUUUACAAGGAGCAAAGCAAGCUCUCCAGGACAAAAAACAACCCAAGUGUCAUUCACAUCAACCUCGGUUUUCGGAUCUUUAUCCUCAAAAGGAGCAAGAUCCUCUACGAACCUACCUGAAGAAGGAAUUGAAAGUUGUCAGAAAGGUUAAGAAAGCUCUAGCUCUGUUUAACCUCUCUAGAUCUAAGAAUAAUACUGUGAAGGAAGAUGAUGGUACUUCAAGUGAUGUAUCCUCCCUACUUACACCACAUAGUGUGACCCAAUCGAGGAUCAAUCUAUGUGAAAAUCCAUGUUACUCUCUGUCGUCCAAAACAAUUAUGCAAGCGAUGAUGACGAACACUUCAUCUGUGGAGGAGCAACUAGCAAACUUGACAGAAUCAACUGCUAGCUUGACCAAGUGCAUGAAAAAUCAAGAUGAUAGAAUUGACAAGUUGGUAGAUAGAGUAAGAAUCAUGAUAGAAAAAGAGUCUAGCCAUGCACUUGGCUAGCUCCCAGAACUUUUAGAAAGUGAUCCUUCCCAAGACAAGUAGCAUCCGCUAAUGCUAUCCCUAUCUCAUAUGAAGGGAUGAUUCCACUCGAUCAACUAAAGGAUUUCAUUGAAGGGACUGUAAAAAGUAAGUAUGAAAUUUCUUCCAAGUCAUGCCUUACAUACGCAAAGCCGUACACUACAAUGAUCGAUAUAUUAAAGAUGCCUGCUGGCUAUCAAACUCCAAAGUUCCAACAGUUUGAUGGCAAAGGCAAUCCAAAGAAAUAUGUGGCGCACAUCGUGGAGACAUGCAACAAUGCUCGGACAUAUGGAGAUUACCUUGUCAAGCAGUUUGUCCGCUCGCUAAAAUAAAAUGCUUUUGAUUGGUAUACAUACCCUGAGGACGGAUCUAUUGAUACCUGGGAUCAACUAGAGCAAGAGUUCCUCAAUUGCUUUUAUAGCACAAGGCACAGUGUGAGCAUGGUGAAACUUACAAAUACUCGUCAAAGGGUAAACCAGUUAUCGACUUUAUCAAUCGUUGGAGGAAUGCAAGCUUCAAUUGCAAAAGACAGGCUUAGUGAAGCUUCUGGCAUAGAGAUAUACAUCCAAGGAAUGCAUUGGGGACUACGCUACAUCUUUCAAGGUAUAAAGCCUAGCACAUUUGAAGAACUUGUGACCCGUGCCUGUCACGCCCCUUUUUUGCUCGUGGAGUCUGGGUUUCGACAUUCAUGGGAAAAACUCAUUUCCUUUUGGGAAUUGGGUAUUUGAAUUUGAAGAGUCUCCAUCUAACGGAUUAAGGUGCGUUAGGGCACCUAGAGCAAUUAACUCAUAUAACUAGUUGCAUUACCAGAGAUUGGGUAAGGGCUCGAAAUAACCUUGAGGGAAAGGUGUUAGGCACCCCUCGCGGUCCACAAUGGUGGGUCCCGGCCGAACUUAAUUAUGUGAAUUAGUCAUUUAACAGAUAGGCAGUCUAAGCACACAUAUGCAAAUAAAGGAAGUUUAGUAGAUAGUCAGUCUAAGCACACAUAUAUAGAUAAGGUGAGGGAAGUCCUAGGUUUAUUAGCCUAUAGGAUCACAUCUGUACAAUACCCGGUAAGCCUUCCUCAAAUAGAGGGGUUACAUGUGGCAUUAGCGCACAUGUCAUCAUAUCCUUUACUACCCAAUUACCCUCCCAUUGGUCAUAUCCUAAAUCGUUCUAGCAAUCUUAAGAUGUAUCCUAUGCGUGCACUACCCGUCCCUUUACUUAUAUAGUCCGGAGGUAUUUAGGACUUCUAGUCAAGGUGGAUCUAGACUCUCCUACAGUAAUUAAAAGGAGAAAACUCUAGGCGACAUACAAAACAUAUAGGACUGGACCAAAGAUAGAACAAUUAAAAGGCUCACAUUUUACCUCCACAAAUAGAGCAAGUAAGUGCACGUCUCAAACAAUAGAUUUCAGAUAUUUAAGAAAAAUCCUAAAACAUGAUAUCUAUGUGAGCAUGGCAAGCAGAGAAUAUGCAAUGUUGAGUUAAGGCAAAAGUGCUAAAGACCUAUUCAGUUUGCCUACUGAAAUUUAGAGCCUGUUGAAUCUGGGCAGUUACAAUAACCAAAGUAGUUUCACGUUUUUUAUUAGACCUUGAUUACCUAUAGGCUUGCCUAGGCGUGAAUCUGUAAUACCCUAUACAUAUGCUAUAUAAAUGCAAUCAGAAUUCUGCGAACCAUUUUAAAACAGUUUGAGUUUAUUAAGUCUUAUAGACAUGUUGGUCUAGGCGCUGAAUGAUUGAUUUUAGACUUACAGAUGCUAGCAGCUAAAUGCAGAAACUAGUCUUAGAAUCCUAUAGGCAUGGCAUCUAAAUGCAGUGAUUAAAACAUGUUGAAGAUUGAUUUAAACAUUGUUAAUAUGCAGAAUCUGAUCUUUUUCAGGCAAGACUGAUUAAUUUUAAAACCCCUAUAGGUAUGGUAUCUAGGCGAACAUUGCAGCAAACUCACAGACAUGUUAUCAGAAUGCAGGAUCGAUUUUUUUUGAAUCCUAUUGGCAUGAUGUCUAAGUGAACAAACAUUGUAACAACUUAUAUGCAUGGUAUCCAGAUAGACAAGAUAUUGUAACAACCUAUAGGCAUGGUAUCUAAAUAAACAAGAUAUUAUAGCAACCUAUAGGCAUGAUAUCUACCCUUUCCCACAUGAUAUGUAUAAAUGACCCUCCCUUUUACUAACUUCCCCAUUAUCUGUUUAUAAGAAAUUAUUAUUACAGACCAACAUUAAUAAUGAAUUACAGAAAUAAAAUGGUUACAACUAUAGGGAGCCUGAAUAUAGGCCCAAAAGGUAAAUCUGGUAGACUGGGCCUUCAAAAUGCCAAAAGUGCUAUAACCUCACAGUGCAUCCAAUAGUAUCCUGGUGUGUCAAAGUUCCCAAGGGCCUCAAGGACCCGGGGCAAUGCUCACACCAGGAAAACUUUCAAAGUAACCUUUUAUGAGCAAGUUUGGAAAGCCAACUCCAGUGUGUCAAAGUUCAGAGGAGCCUCAGGGACUCCUAAGCAAUGCUUAUACUAGAGGGGCAAGACCCUAGGUGUUCUAAGAAUAGGAGUAGUGUUUGAAAAUAGAAGUAGUUUUAAGAAAAUAGUUUAGAAGUAAACAGAGUCACUGCAGCACUCUGAAGCAAAGGUUUCAGCAACCAAACAACAAGCAGAAAACAUGGUCACAAAGUUUCAAAGCAGAGAUUCCCAUUGCCCAGAUUUAGCUUAGUUCAUUAGUUAACACGAGGUGGCAUAUAGCAUAUUAAGAACAAUCAACUACACAGAGAGAUGAGCAGGGGUUGGGAACAUAGGAAUCUUGAAUCAGGAAUACAUAAAACAGGGUGAAAAGCAUAUUGAUUAAUACCAAGCAAGUAUAACACUCAAUAGGACCUAAUGGUGCUGAUUAGAAAUGAUAGACAACAAACACAUAAGUUUAAAAGGACCAAAUUACAUAGAACUAGGUAGGGCAUAACAACAGGAGCAAUCAUGCUGACUAAAAUUAGUAGAAAUGAAAGACAUAGAACUAAUUUACAGGAGCAGCCAGGGCGAUUAAUGUCAUACCUCCUUUUUACCACCUGAGAGGGGAUAUAAGGGAGUUUUUCCAAUUAACGAUAAUCGAAACGGGAUUAUUUAUUCAAAUUCAGAGUUGCCACUUGGGAUAAUUUAUGGUGUCCCAAGUCACCGGUUUAAAAUCCCGAAUCGAAGAAGUUUGACUCUAUUUUAUAGUCUGCGAACACAGAAAUCCGGGUAAGGAAUUCUGUUAACCAAGGAGAAGGUGUUAGGCAUUCCCGGGUUCCGUAGUUUUAGCACGGUCGCUUUAAUAAUAUUUGGCUCAAUUAAAUUGCCUAAUUACUUAUUUUAGAACCUAUGUGCAUUUACCUCUUUUAGUAAAGAAAUUAUCUUAAAACAGGUCACGCGUACGUGUACCCAUUUGUUUGGCGCGUCAAAAAUUAUGUCACGCGAACGUGUCCACAAUUAAUAACGCUUUAUUAUUAUUAAGAAAGUUUGACUGAACUUGCGCGAGCGCAUACCUCGAUUUACUUUUAGAAUCAUAAUUAUGUCACGCGAACGUGUACACAAUUACGGUGAUAGAUUCAAAAUGCGCCUAAAGCAUUCUAACGUACUCAAUAACAAUAAAUAAGAUUCAUAUUAAACCCAAAUCCCUUUUAAUCUAAAUUUGUUUUCAAUUUUUUUCUUUUGUCAGUUUAAAAUGCGAAUAACUCAAGCAAAGCUCAAUUAUAUUUUUUUGGUUUAAACCCAACCACUCUAAAAUAUUCUUAAUCCCGAAUCUCUUGCUUGUUUCAUGGUAGCGUCCAUUUUAAUUUUAACUUUUAUAACUAAACCCAAUAACUCAAAAUCAAAUUAUCUCUUAUGUUCUUAAUAAGAAGUAGUGAUUCAAAGUAUAACAACUAUUCUGUUAAGAACACAUUAACAUACAAAUUAUAGUAUAAGUCACAAGACCAUUUCGUAAAGUAAAUCAAACAGCAGCAAAACUAGAAAAUAAAAUGAAAGAAAAAAGAGAAAAGAGUUGGACCUUUAAUGAUAAGUUUCUCCUGGAAAUUGAGUUGAAUCUACACUUUAAGUAGCCUUUUCUAUUAAUAGAACUUUCCAAAACAGCUUUACAAUUGAUGAAGGGAAGAAAAAUCCGCCGACGGAAACUUGACUGGAGAAGCGAAAAAUCAACAAAAAAUAGACAAAACAGCGAACCAAAAACCUCGAUCUGCAACUUCAAACAAAAUAUAGCUAACCCGACCCCUUUAGUUUGACAUUAAGCAAGGGUGUUUGAAUUAGUUCUAGGUGAUAUUUAGUGUUAGGGACAAUAACUAUGGUGAGAUUUGGUGGGAGGAAACAAGGGUGAAGGAAGAUGAGAUUAAUGGUGGUUUAAGGAAUGAUUUAACUUUGUAGAAGAAAGUGAUAUUUAUGGUCCCUCAUUUUCCUCUGUUUUUUCGUUCCUCCUAGACUUCUCUCGUUCUCCUCUCUAAUUUGUUUCCCGUGACCCUCUCUCUCUCUCUCUAUUCUGUUUUUGUUUC
rnacentral:lncRNA from 1 species